ensembl:lncRNA
AUUGACGUUAGAAUAUUGUUAGCUAUCAGCAGGCAUAGGUGGGUGUAUAAAGGGCUGAUUUGUGCCAGUCGGAGGUGUUACUCAGGUGCCCCCGCCCCCUUUCUGGUACUGGCGUUUGACACUGUGUGUUUGUUAGCGGUGUGGCUAAUUCAGCCACGGCUCACUUAGGGUUGAUUUUGUGCGUCUAUUCGAAAGCCGUAUGAGAUGUCAACUGGUUAAUGUUUGCGACAUCCUGUUGCUGUCAGCCCCUUGCAUCUACUCCUUUUCGCAUCGUACUGGCUCUGCUUUGGUGUGGCGGUUGGCUGUAUUAUCUAGUUUUUGUUAGCGUCAACUUCUGCUUCUAUACUGUUCAGUGCUCACGCUGGCCCUGUCAAUUUAACGUGGCUGACUGCUGCAGUGUCCGUAAUGUGUUGGCGGGUUCCUGCUGCACUGCACGUGGUUUAGUCUGUACAUCAGUCCCCAGAAAUACGCUGCUAGCAUAUUUUUUGUUUUGUAUCAGUUUAAUUUUGCUUUGGUGCAUUAGUUGCUUUUCUUUUAUUUGUCUUUUCGUUGGAUGGUUCAUCUUGGCUUUAUACGUUAAUAUUUGUUUUAUUUCAUUCUGUGUGUAUUUCAUCUUUAAAGAUUAUUAAUUUGCUUUUUCUUUUCAUUGUCUUUUUGAACCAGUUGUUGGAAAUUGUUGUUUUUUUCUGUUGUGUUCUUGAUUUUGUUAGAAAUUGAGUUAAUUAUAAUUUUGUUCUAAUUAAGUUUAUAUUUUCGUUAUUCAGUGUAUAUUUGUGUGUGGUUUAUUAAGUUGACGUGGUUUAUCUAAUUACAGGUGCUGUGUGUCCAACAAAAAGCAGGGAGGCAGAUUUUCCACACUUGGGUGGUGG